rnacentral:rRNA from 1 species
GACGAACGCUGGCGGCGUGCUUAACACAUGCAAGUCGAACGGUGAAAGCGGAGCUUGCUCCGCUGGAUCAGUGGCGAACGGGUGAGUAACACGUGGGCAACCUGCCCCUCACUUCGGGAUAACUCCGGGAAACCGGGGCUAAUACCGGAUAUGACCUCCUUGGGCAUCCUUGGAGGUGGAAAGUUUUUCGGUGAGGGAUGGGCCCGCGGCCGAUCAGCUUGUUGGUGAGGUAGUGGCUCACCAAGGCGACGACGGGUAGCCGGCCUGAGAGGGCGGCCGGCCACACUGGGACUGAGACACGGCCCAGACUCCUACGGGAGGCAGCAGUGGGGAAUAUUGCGCAAUGGGCGAAAGCCUGACGCAGCAACGCCGCGUGCGGGAUGACGGCCUUCGGGUUGUAACCCGCUUUCAGCAGGGAAGAAGCCGCAAGGUGACGGUACCUGCAGAAGAAGCACCGGCUAACUACGUGCCAGCAGCCGCGGUAA